rnacentral:rRNA from 1 species
CCUACGGGGGGCUGCAGUGGGGAAUAUUGGACAAUGGGCGAAAGCCUGAUCCAGCCAUGCCGCGUGUGUGAAGAAGGCCUUCGGGUUGUAAAGCACUUUCAGUGGGGAAGAAAUCCUUGGGGCUAAUACCCUCGAGGAAGGACAUCACCCACAGAAGAAGCACCGUCUAACUCCGUGCCAGCAGCCGCGGUAAUACGGCGGGUGCGAGCGUUAAUCGGAAUUACUGGGCGUAAAGCGCGCGUAGGCGGUCUGAUAAGCCGGUUGUGAAAGCCCCGGGCUCAACCUGGGAACGGCAUCCGGAACUGUCAGGCUAGAGUGCAGGAGAGGAAGGUAGAAUUCCCGGUGUAGCGGUGAAAUGCGUAGAGAUCGGGAGGAAUACCAGUGGCGAAGGCGGCCUUCUGGACUGACACUGACGCUGAGGUGCGAAAGCGUGGGUAGCAAACAGGAUUAGAUACCCGUGUAGUC